GGUCCGUAGUGACCUGCGGAAGGAUCAUUA
rnacentral:rRNA from 1 species